rnacentral:rRNA from 1 species
CACGUAGUUAGCCGGGGCUUCUUCUGCAGGUACCGUCGAUGUCUUCCCUGCUGAAAGCGGUUUACAACCCGAAGGCCUUCAUCCCGCACGCGGCGUUGCUGCGUCAGGGUUUCCCCCAUUGCGCAAUAUUCCCCACUGCUGCCUCCCGUAGGAGUCUGGGCCGUAUCUCAGUCCCAAUGUGGCCGGUCGGUCUCUCAACCCGGCUACCCAUCAUCGGCACGGUGGGCUUCUACCCCGCCGUCUACCUAAUGGGCCGCGACCCCAUCUCUUACCGCAAAAGCUUUCCCGCAUACAUCAUGUGAUAUGUGCGGAGUAUUUGGUAUUAGCCAGAAUUUCUUUUGGUUGUCCCAAUGUAAGAGGCAGGUUGGUCACGUGUUACUCACCCGUUCGCCACUCUAUACACACCCGAAGGUGCUUUAAUCGUUCGACUUGCAUGUGUUAGGCACGCCGCCAGCGUUCAUCCUGAGCCAGGAUCAAACUCU